UUCCCCAUCUUUCGUUUGAAUGAAAGUUUAUAGGAGACAUCUCUGUUCCCAACUUGCUUCUUCUGAGAUCAAAAAUGGAAAUUAGAUAUUUUCAGAGGAAAAAAUAUCAAAAUUAGAUUACCGAAGUAGGAACUUGUCCCACAUCGAAGACAUUCAAACAACAAGUGCAAUACUUAAACGGAAGUGCGAAGGGGAUUGGGCACGACCUUACUUGAACAGGAUCUGUUCUAUAGGUUGUACAACUGUUUCCUUGAGUUCUAAGGAGGCAAGAAUCAUAGUCUGGUGGAUGAACCACUGCCCUGCGGCUAGAGCGUGAUUAAUGGCUCAUCGGAUCUUGGUCCGGCGGCUGUAGAGGAUCGUUCUCGGCAUGGCUCGUCCUGCUGGGAUGGUCGCGGGGCGGUCUGACAGACUACUACAAUUUUUGGAUUUUUGACUUCUUCUGCUAUGUUGUUUUUUUUUUUUUUUUUUUUUUUGUUUCUGUUCUUGCUGGCUUCAGGUUGACAUAGCUCUCUAUUUUGUAGAAUGGGUGCGUGUAUUUUUGUGAGAACGACGAAGGAUGGUUAUGGGAAAUGUGGAUGUUCAGUUUACACUCAUAAAGUGUUUGGCGAAAUGCCUCAGAGAGAGGUGUAAACCGAAAUGGGUGAAGCUGAAGGGGAAGGGGAUGGAGAUAAUGGAUAUGGUUGACAGUGUCAUCAAUAUUAAACUGUACUUCACUUUAUAAGUAUCAUUACUUUGGAAGUUAUAUAGACACGUAAAAUCCUUUUACCAUUUCCUUUCUGUACUGUUUCUAUUCUCAGCUUUCUUGCGGCCAGUUUCAUUGUUGAAUUAUAUGUGUAGUUAUGAUGUGACUCUGCGAUAGGGAUGAUAGUGGGUUAUGAGAAAUAUGGAUAUUCUGUUUAUGCUCCUCAAGUGUUUGGUGAAAUGCCGCAGAGGGAGUUGGAUUGGAGUUUAGGUUUUCAGUUAAACUUCAACCCAAUUCCUGCAUAUGUUUCAUGGGAGAAUGAAGUCGGAUCGGUUUCUUUUUGUGGGAAUUAGUCAACAACUGUUUUUUUGUUGUUGGAAUUUAUUUUGCCAUCUUGUCUUUCUAUGCUAAAAUGAAGGAAGGGGUGAAAGAGAAGAGGAUGGGUUAUUGGGUGUCUUGUGUUCACCAAAAUUCAUAGGCUGAACAAAUGCAACAUUUGGGGUGGCCAAUGUGUUAGUUGAUUGUUCAAAAUCUACCAUUCUUUGCCAUUUAAUACUGCCCCUUUACUGAAUUUAUUCACAAUGGACAAACAGUAUAAACUAUAAAGCUUCAUCACUUAGAGAAGCAAUGGGAGUCUUGUUUUAGUCAGAAUGGACAUUUUGAUAAGGCAGUUGAGAGUUGUUCAACCAAAUGGAACCAACCAUUGAUAUUUGCUUCUGCUACAAAAAUGUUUCAGUUAAAUCUUAAACAAACAUGUUGAUUGUUGUGGCCUCAAUCUAAGUUACAAAUAAUGUGUUCAACUUCAGGUUUAGCAGACCAUGGAUCCCUUAUAUAAGUUGAUUUAAAAGAACAAAUCAACCUCCAUUAUGGCGUCGUCUCCUUCUCAGCUUCAGAAGCAGACUUCAGAAAGUCAGGUUCCAUGCCAAAUUUGAUUUUUUAUUUGAUUGUGGUGGCCAACAACGGGUCCAGCUUCAAGUUUAGAAGAUGAUGAUAUCUUCUCCGUGGUUGGAAUAAUCAUCAUACGUACCUGCUGUCUUCACUACAGAGAAAUGAAAUGACAGAGGAGUUCUUUCAUCACAGGUAUCUCUGCCAAACACUGCUCUAGGAUCAUCAAUACGCUGCCUUUGAACACUGGGCUAAGAAUGAGGACAAGGAAGAGCUUGCAGCCGUUCAAGCAAGACUCAGGAAAUGGUUUGAGUUCAAUAUAAUGUUGUUUGAACUUACAAGACUAUGAUUCAGCAAUCUUUGAAAAAUUUAAGCAAAAGAUGAGAAGUAUUGCUAAGAAAAAAUUUGUGUGUGUAAGUAGGCGUUUUCCCUCUCCUUGCCUUCUUGCUUCCUUGCCACCUUUGUCUUACCAAAAGUUUAAGUUGCAGAUAACGAAAAUGCAAAAGAGACGAAGAAACUUUAUUAAAGCAUAUUUAUUGAAGUACCUUGUGAUAAAGUCGGAGAUGUUGUGGCAACA